rnacentral:rRNA from 1 species
AUUGAACGCUGGCGGCGUGCCUUACACAUGCAAGUCGAACGGCAGCGCGGGCUUCGGCCUGGCGGCGAGUGGCGAACGGGUGAGUAAUAUAUCGGAACGUACCCAAGAGUGGGGGAUAACGUAGCGAAAGUUACGCUAAUACCGCAUACGAUCUAAGGAUGAAAGCAGGGGAUCGCAAGACCUUGUGCUCCUGGAGCGGCCGAUAUCUGAUUAGCUAGUUGGUGGGGUAAAGGCCCACCAAGGCAACGAUCAGUAGCUGGUCUGAGAGGACGACCAGCCACACUGGAACUGAGACACGGUCCAGACUCCUACGGGAGGCAGCAGUGGGGAAUUUUGGACAAUGGGGGCAACCCUGAUCCAGCAAUGCCGCGUGAGUGAAGAAGG